GCUUGCAUGGCAGAGUAUAUACUAAAAUUGAAAUGAUACAGGGAAGAUUAGCAUAGCGUCUUUGCAAGGAAGGCAUUCAAAUUUCAGAAGUGUCCUUUAUUUAU